rnacentral:misc_RNA from 1 species
UUUCCGUAGGUGAACCUGCGGAAGGAUCAUUAUUGUAUAACCGAGGUGCGAGGGCUGUCGCUGACCCGAAAGGUCGUGCACGCCCGAGUGCCCUCACACACAUCCAUCUCACCCCUACGUGCACCACCGCGUGGGUCCCCCUUUGGCUUGUUCGGAGGGGGGCUUACGUUUUCACACAAACUUUGUAUGCAGUGUAGAAUGUAUUUUUUGUUUUUGCGAUCACGCAAUCAAUACAACUUUCAACAACGGAUCUCUUGGCUCUCGCAUGAUGAAGAACGCAGC